AACGAACGCUGGCGGCAUGCCUAACACAUGCAAGUCGAACGAGAAGUUCGGGUUCAGUGGCGCCUGGGUGCGUGAACGGUGGGAUAAUGCCCUAGGGAUCGGCAUAACUCUCCGAAAGGGGUGCUAAUAACGGAUAAUGUCUCCGGACCGGAGAUUUAUCGCCUUUGGAUGGGCCCGCGUUGGAUUAGCUAGUUGGUUGGGUUAAAGCCUACUCAGGCGACGAUCCAUAGCUGGGCUGAGAGGAUGAUCAGCGACACUGCGACUGAGACACGGCUCAGACUCGUACGAGAGGCAGCAAUGGGGAAUAUUGGACAGUGGGCGAAAGGCUGAUCCAGCAAGGCCGGGAGAGUGAUGAAGGCCUUAUGGUUGGAAAGCUCUUUUACCCAGGAUGAUAAUGACGGUACCGGGUGAAUAAGCUCCGGCUAACUCCGUG
rnacentral:rRNA from 1 species